CCUACGGGAGGCAGCAGUGGGGAAUUUUGGACAAUGGGCGCAAGCCUGAUCCAGCAAUGCCGCGUGCAGGAUGAAGGCCUUCGGGUUGUAAACUGCUUUUGUACGGAACGAAACGGUGAGCUCUAAUACAGUUUGCUAAUGACGGUACCGUAAGAAUAAGCACCGGCUAACUACGUGCCAGCAGCCGCGGUAAUACGUAGGGUGCGAGCGUUAAUCGGAAUUACUGGGCGUAAAGCGUGCGCAGGCGGUGAUGUAAGACAGAUGUGAAAUCCCCGGGCUCAACCUGGGACCUGCAUUUGUGACUGCAUCGCUAGAGUACGGUAGAGGGGGAUGGAAUUCCGCGUGUAGCAGUGAAAUGCGUAGAUAUGCGGAGGAACACCGAUGGCGAAGGCAAUCCCCUGGACCUGUACUGACGCUCAUGCACGAAAGCGUGGGGAGCAAACAGGAUUAGAUACCCUGGUAGUCCACGCCCUAAACGAUGUCAACUGGUUGUUGGGUCUUCACUGACUCAGUAACGAAGCUAACGCGUGAAGUUGACCGCCUGGGGAGUACGGCCGCAAGGUUGAAACUCAAAGAUAGUAGGCGNGAGAGAGCGACGGACGACGACGAGGAGGGAGGAG
rnacentral:rRNA from 1 species